rnacentral:lncRNA from 10 species
AAAUCCCGUCAGCCAACUGAAAAGCCAAGUCUGCCAUACAACUUGCAAUCUGCCAAUUUUAAAAUGGAUCAAUGUUAUUUUAUUAACAUUGGCAAAGGCUCAUAUAUGGGCAAACCAGAAUGAGAAAGAGUUAAUCGUCACCAGAAAUUUGGUUCCGAGAAAUGGGUUUUCUUCUCAUCUUCUUAUAUAGUUCAAAGAAUCCAGUCUCACCGUGAUAAGUCCCAAGAUUCGAGAACUAGUUAGAAGAAAACUUGUUUGUUGCCUACAAAUAUCACGAAUAGGUUGCAGAAGCCCUACAAGCUUUCACUAAAAGAUUACACUGCCAGGGGUUGAUGGUUUGAUGUGUGGUGGUAACCUUUUCCAUUGGAGACCCACAAACUCUGAAACUUAAACUACUUAACUACAAACACACAACAAAUGACGAAAAGACAGCAUUCACCUCAGCUGAAAUUUGGUGGAAGUAAAAAGCACUUCUCUGGGUCCUCUGAGGAAGCUUCUGGUCUGAGAUGCAAACACUCUGAACUCCAGGGACCAAGAUCAGUAUAGGAGAAAGCUCAUUUUGCUGUUUUACAUAAAUAAAAGUAAUGAACGUUUAUUUUUCCAAUCCCAAAGGAUCCUUUUGUACCUCACAGUACUUACUCUCCAGGAUUGACCUCCUUCUAAGCUAGGGAACAACCCAUACCUCCAGAUUAGAGCUCUUUGUGGUAUCACAGUGCCAAGCAGAAAUCCACAGAGAAAUACUCUGCAAGCAUCUUAAUACUAUCUUGUUAAAAGAAAAUCUGCUUUUAUUUUCAGCUCUAUUUCAUGCCAACAAAGGAAAUAAAAAAUAAGUUACUAAACAUCCAGAAGGCAGAAAAGCGACCUCUCUCCAUCUGCAGAAGCCAAGCAAACUUGUGGGCUUCCCUAUGCAUCCUUUCUUUUACUCACUUUCUAAACGCUGUAACGGCCACUAUCUAUCAGGUGGUCACAAGCCAUCGCUAAAGUCAAUCUGAGGUCAACCCACUCGACUUGUGAGGGAUUCAGCUAUACUGCCUCUGCGCCUCUAAUAGGACUAAGGAGGCGGUGGUUGCACAAGUAGUUAACACCGAUUGUACCGUGACUCCGCCUUUCCGCAGCCGCUCUCCAGCUCUUUAGAGUCCUUUUGAGUCAAGCUGGACGUGAGACAUACAGGAGAUCGUUGCAAACGCCAGGAGGAGUUUCUUCAGGGUGAAGUUAACUUUCAAUCGGCUUCAUUCUAAGAGAAAUAUGUGGAGCAAACAAACGGAAACUUUCUUUCUCAUCUUUUGCAUUUCAAGCAAAAACUAAUAAAAUUAGAUGUUUCCACCGUCAUGCUCAGUUUCGAAGCUGCCAGCAGAUCCCGCUUCUAACUUUUAACACAGGCACGCAGGAAAUCGGGAAAUCCCUGCAGCUCCCUCAGAAGCUACAGUAUCAGCGGUUCCUGAAGGGCAAACCAAAACCCAGUAUCACUCUCUCCUCCAAAGAGUUCAGCCGGUCUGCUGAGCGACGGAAAUAGCGGAGAGGCGCUCUUGAAGCCGAAACGAACCAGGUCCCCUUCCUGGUCGAGUCUUCCUCCCUAAGGACAAAAAAAGUACCUUUCUUCCCUCAUAUCCAGAGGAAGCGACGGAGGGAUGUGGCGCUUAGACUCACUGUACCAUCCCGUCCAUCCAAGUCCUAAUAAUCAUGAGGAUGCGACAGAGCGAGACUCCGUCUCAACAAAACAAAACAAAACAACCCUAAGGAAGAGAGAGAAUGUACUGGAGGAUAGGAAGUACUUAGGAAAACCUUUUUUUUUCUUGUAUUUAAAUUUAAGCCUUCAUUUAUAUAAAAUAAAACACAUGAAACCUAU